GCUGUAAAUUUAAUAUAUAUAUAUAUAUAUUAAUUUAUAUUGAUAUGAUAUUGUAUGUUCGAUUGUAAUUGUAAGAUACUAUGAUACAUUGUACAUGCAGCUUGUUUUAUUGUGCAUUGAUAGUUUUAUUAGAAAAAAAAGCGUUUUACGCAUUUGAAAUUAUAGUAACGCUAAUAGAACCGCGCUUGAGAUGCACGAACGAAAUGGGCGGGAAAAGAGCGCGGCAGUCACGUGCGAGGAAAGGCGGCAGGAUUGAACUCGUUUUCGAGCUCGUCAGAGAAGAAUCGGUUAUAAAUACAGCGGAGGAGUCGAUGUUCGUGUCUUCUCUUGAUUCAGGUCAGACAGGAUUCACCUCCAACCGGCUCGUCUGCCGCUAAGUGUACGGAUCGCCAGGGAAUUCCACCCGAAUCGUUCGCCUGUCCAAAUAAAUAACCCAAAGUGGCACUCGAGACGACGCA
ensembl:lncRNA